GAUGGACGCUAGCGGCAGGCCUAAUACAUGCAAGUCGGACGGGAUCCAUCGGAGAGCUUGCUCGAAGAUGGUGAGAGUGGCGCACGGGUGCGUAACGCGUGAGCAACCUACCUCUAUCAGGGGGAUAGCCUCUCGAAAGAGAGAUUAACACCGCAUAACAUCAACAGUUCGCAUGUCCGGUUGAUUAAAUAUUUAUAGGAUAGAGAUGGGCUCGCGUGACAUUAGCUAGUUGGUAGGGUAACGGCCUACCAAGGCGACGAUGUCUAGGGGCUCUGGGAGGAGAAUCCCCCACACUGGUACUGAGACACGGACCAGACUCCUACGGGAGGCAGCAGUAAGGAAUAUUGGUCAAUGGGCGGAAGCCUGAACCAGCCAUGCCGCGUGCAGGACGACUGCCCUAUGGGUUGUAAACUGCUUUUGUCCAGGAAUAAACCUCUUUACGUGUAGAGAGCUGAAUGUACUGGAAGAAUAAGGAUCGGCUAACUCCGUGCCAGCCGCCGCCGUAACAC
rnacentral:rRNA from 1 species